CACGUAGGCAGCGAGCGUUGUUCGGAUUUACUGGGCGUAAAGGGUGUGUAGGCGGUUGUUUAAGUUUGGUGUGAAAUCUCCCGGCUCAACUGGGAGGGUGCGCCGAAUACUGAAUGACUUGGAGUGCGGGAGAGGAAAGUGGAAUUCCUGGUGUAGCGGUGAAAUGCGUAGAUAUCAGGAGGAACACCGGUGGUGUAGACGGCUUUCUGGACCGUAACUGACGCUGAGACACGAAAGCGUGGGUAGCAAACAGG
rnacentral:rRNA from 1 species